AACGCACAUUGCGCCCCCUGGUAUUCCGGGGGGCAUGCCUGUUCGAGCGUCAUUUCACCACUCAAGCCUCGCUUGGUAUUGGGCAACGCGGUCCGCCGCGUGCCUCAAAUCGUCCGGCUGGGUCUUCUGUCCCCUAAGCGUUGUGGAAACUAUUCGCUAAAGGGUGUUCGGGAGGCUACGCCGUAAAACAACCCCAUUUCUAAGGUUGACCUCGGAUCAGGUAGGGAUACCCGCUGAACUUAAGCAUAUCGAUAAGGCGAGGAGAUACUGAUGUCAUGAGAGAUUGUGAGUCAUCGAGUCUUUGAACGCACCUUGCGCUCUAUGGCAAUCCGUAGAGCAUGCCUGUUUGAGUGCCAUGAAAUCUCCCACCCCAAGCGGUUUUUAAAUGAAACGGCUUGGCGGAUGGGGUCUGGAUGGGUGCCUCUGCCUGCGCUACCUAGCACAGGCUCGCCCGAAAUGCAUGAGCGCCUGAGACACUUUGCAUCCGCCUCUCUGUUUGGGAGGAGGCGGCCAAGCAGUGUUUUUCUCCUGGCAUGGCAUGAUACGUCAUUUGCUAUGUCGCCUAAAGGAGGAAUGUUUGGUUGUGUCUGCGUGUGCUUCGAACUUGCCUCUGUGGCACAUCCCAAUUUCACUUCUGGUCUCAAAUCAGGUAGGAUCACCCGCUGAACUUAA
rnacentral:misc_RNA from 1 species